AGCCUUGAGGUGUAAUUUACAUGUUGGAUUGCAAAUCCAGAGAAGCCGGUUAGUUACCAGCCGGGGCUU
rnacentral:tRNA from 1 species